CCUACGGGAGGCAGCAGUGGGGGAUAUUGCACAAUGGGGGGAACCCUGAUGCAGCGACGCCGCGUGAGCGAAGAAGUACCUCGGUAUGGAAAGCUCUAUCAGCAGGGAAGAAAAUGACGGUACCUGACUAAGAAGCCCCGGCUAAAUACGUGCCAGCAGCCGCGGUAAUACGUAUGGGGCAAGCGUUAUCCGGAUUUACUGGGUGUAAAGGGAGCGCAGUCGGCCUGCCAAGUCUGGUGUGAAAAUGCGGGGCCCAACCCCGGGCCUGCAUUGGAAACUGGCGGGCUGGAGUGUAGGAGGGGCAGGCGGAAUUCGUGGUGUAGCGGUGAAAUGCGUAGAUAUUAGGAGGAACACCGGUUGCGAAGGCGGCUUACUGGACCGUAACUGACGUUGAGGCUCGAAAGCGUGGGGAGCAAACAGGAUUAGAUACCCGAGUAGUC
rnacentral:rRNA from 1 species